AGUUCGUUAUUCAGGAACUGGAACAAGAACAGGAACUCUGGGGAGUGAGACCGCGUUGGAGCUUUUUUGCUUGAGCCUGUGGCUAUUUUUAUUGAAAAUUGUGGACUUUGCAUGUGGCACAUAGAAUAAUGGAGCAGGACUGGAAUUUAAUUUCGGCCUAUCGAUAUUUUUACGAAGAUUCAGGCGCCCCCACGUUCCCGCCCACUGGAUAACCUUCUCAAUAUUUCACCUGUCUAAUUCGUGCAUACAAAUAACACAAGUCCGAAAGUCAGGCUCAGAGCUGGCCAAGUCAGAAUCGAGAGCGACGGUCAUGAUGACUGUUUACCUAUUUGGAAGGGCCUUUGCUAGAAUUAAGAAUUAAAAUCUGAUUUAUGUGAGAGCCGCUAGGAAGACACACACUGAAUCAGAAACCCGGAUAUGACUGCAUUAAACUUGAUUUCGUUUACAUUUUUUAUGACCACAGGGUACUCUGCGCGGUGGCACAAAAAUUUCAUUGAAAACGAGAUACAUGAAUAAUUCUUUAUUGUUCGGUUUUGUAGGGCUAUCCGAGCUCUGAAAAAUCGCAUCAAAUUGUUCGCUGCCCUAUCCAGUUUCCCUCAUACCCUGGCACCAAUACUUGCAACCGAACGUGGAGCGCCGGUGCUACCCCAUGUCAGAUUUUGUGAUGGUAGGGCCACAAACCGCUUAAUAAGCAGCGCAGCUGUCAAAAGUCCAAUAUCAAUUUUUUUGUCGUUGACUAAUGGCGUUCAGAUUUUUCGUUUUUUUUUUUAAUGCGUGGUGUUUAGUGCUGUGCUCACAACACUUCGGCCAUCAAAAGUUAUUGUGCAGCGCUGGGCGUUAUCAAUUUCUAGCCCACAAGUCUCUUCGCCGGAAGUGCUCAAAGCAAUUGACAAAAUGGCGCACGCAAUAAAGCCGGAAAUGGCGGAGCCUUUAGCAGCUGGAGCAUCCAAGGCGAAAAGUCCAGGUAAGGAUUUAUUUAUCGCUGCAGGCGGGCAGCAAAUUAAUUUUGAGGGCCUAUCCAAUUCGCAAUAUCUUCGCCGGGGGGUUGGAGUCUCGUAUCUUGAUGUCAUGGGACUUUGUGGUGUCAUCAACGCAGUUGGCGCCUUAUGAAAGUGGAAAGCCUGGCCAGAGAAGCCCCCAUACCACCCAUCACACCCAGCCGACGUGGCCUCGAUUGUGGGUGGCAAAUUGCAGCUGCUGCCCAGUGUUUUGACAAUAAUCAAAACUCAAAAAGCAGCAUCGCUGCAACAGCUUAGGAGCUCGGCAGCCUGGGGUCUUGUGCACCCUCCCGCCCACACUAAUUGCUUUCAAUUUAAUGAAAAUUUUAAUAGGAAAACGCUCUGCCAAAAACAGUUGUCGCUCCCUGGGCUCGUCGGCAUGCAUGGACAUGGCGUGUAUAAGGUACAUAAGAACCCAGGGAGCGGGUGGAAGACAUCCUGAAAACUGCGCCAAACAAUUUGCACCUAAUAUAGUGCAGGUUAUUUAUUUAGCAGACACACUUGAUAAGCAAAAGUAUGAAUAUUCGGGUAUGUUUUUGGUUCAUUUAAACUUUGAUUUGCAUUUGGCGACCACAACUUUGAAGUACUCAAGAAAUGCAACGAAAUGGAUAAGAACCAUAUACGUUUCGGGUUUCGAGGUGCCAGUUUGUCUAGUUCAACCUUCAGCCAUGGCGACCAGCUCGCCUUGGUCCUUGGCAAUGGCGCACUUUGCUGACUACCUGCUGAGUCUGUUUUUAAACAAUUUGGAAAGGAGGGUAUUUUUCCCCAUGGGCGAUGAAGAUUUGACGUUGAAUUUACGGCUCAAUAAUAAGGACACAACUCCAAGCUGGCAGCAGAAGAUUUUUUGGUUUUGGUAUUGGCCUGCCAAAAUUGUCAGCCAUAAUUCUGGUCCACGGCAGUUUGCGCAUCGAUGGAGCCAAUAAACAAUGAUGAAUCACUUAUAAAUUGUUGCCAUAUUUCGAGGUCCCACCUCGAAUGAGUUGGACGAGGGUUGUGGAGUGGAGUAGAGUGGAAAUUGAAAUUGAUGACGUUGCUUCUGACGAAGCUUUUGACUUGUCGCCGCUUAAAUGCUUCCAAGUAAGAACUCCUACUCUUCUUCCACCCACAACGCGGUUGUUUAUUUACCAACAUUAACAAAAUAAAUGACGUGCAAAGAAAAAGGCAAACGCGAACGCGAGUCGACGAUACUGCGAAAAAGUUUGAAUAGACAAAUUAUUGCGAUGCUACGGCGCUGGAACAGAAGGCGGGGUAAUCACUUAUGGUAACUGUCAUCCCUCAAUCGGCAGUCGCUAAACACAAUUCAUUCAAAACUCUCGCCAGAGGGCAGUCGGCGUAGAGUUGCUAUCCGGAAUUGGCAAUGGUGGGGCAUUUUUAACGUGGCCGUCAUGGGCCGUCUUUGUGACAACUUUUACGUUGAUUGGUUUUUGCCUGGAGUGAAAUCGAUGGCUUUUGGUCACGUAAUUAAGAGCAAACUUAUUAAUCGCCGUUUGACAACUCCCGGCAGCCAGCUAAUUAAGUCAAAUUGGCUGCAAAUCGGAAUUUUAUUUAAUCGCUUUUUCCAAAUGAGGCGUUUCCCUUUUGCGCAUUGUCUUCUGGCCAUAAAACCCGUCAUGCUGAAUGGAAAUACUGCGUCGUCAACUGUCUAGCGGUCGUGUCUGCAAGUCAAAGUGAAAAUUUGACAGUUUCCGAAAGGUUUCCGUCCCUAAAUGUCAAUUGAGAGGUAAGGUUUUGGGCCCGAGUUCCGGCUCGGGUUCGGUUUGGUGGGCUUACCUCGUCGCCUGGCAUUUUGCUCUAAGGAACCAUGUAGAGAGCCCUUCCGUCAACAGUAUUUGGCGGUGGGCAUUUACAUUUAAAAAAUUUUAUAAUAAUUAUAAUUUUGUGAGUAUUUGCAUAUUCGUCUGCACAAGCGCUGGAGGGACGCGCGAAAAGGGGUGUCUUGGCUUUCUGGCUGUGGCAGAUGUGGGCUUUACAUGACAAAAGUUGUGCCUUUGCAAAGUUUGCACCAUUAUAAAAUGUUUGUGGCAAGCUGCGUAGCAAGCUGAAGACCAGGACUUUCGGUACUUUCCCUCCCAGUUUUCUUCGUGCGCCAUCAGUGUUCUUAACAAUUUCUGCGAAUGCUCGACAAGCUCAAUAAUUGUGAACUUGAUGCGACAAGUCCCACAAAUACGUGUACAAUGUAAUGUUUUUGCAGCUUAACUUAAAAAUAUUAUAAGAUAUAUAAAGAUUGUUUAUAAGGUCGAUGGCCUCGUAGCUUGUACUACUAACGUGUUAUGUUUGUUCGGUGUUUUUGUAAACUGUGCUAUCAUCUUUAAUAAAAUAAAAUAAUAUAAAUGUAACAAGAUAACAGUUCAGGACAAGGCCAGUGUGCAUUAAUAUUGCACGUCACCCCUUAACAUAGUGCAAGGCAAAUGAAUAUAGAAGCCUGGUGGUGUAUUUUACGUGUGUUUAAACCAAGAUUCCUGCAACCCCCUUCGUCAGCAAUUUAAUUUCAGCUGCAAAACAUCAUAUCGCAUAUUGCAAUUGAGAAGCAUUGGAUGUCCUUGAUUGAACCUCUGUUCGGCAGCUGGCAAAUCGCUCCAUUGUGCCCGUGCUUGAGAACAAAUGUAGCUUUUAAUACAUUGUCACUGCAAUUGACAUUUUGUCAAAUGGCAAUACAAUGCGAUUUCCCCUUUAAUACAUUCCUCCCGUGUGUGCUACACGAGCACAUAUGGCUGUGAAAACCAUCCACGUAUCUGGCUUUCGCGCAUUUGUAUCUGUAUAGCAGUUUUUAAUGUAGCGUAAUAAAUUGAAAAGUAAGCAAGCGAAUAAAGCACACACUCACACACAUUGCGGAAGAGGCAGAGAUCAGGCAUGGGCAAUGGCAAGGCGACUAUCGCAUUCAGACAGUCAUAAAAUGCAAUCCAAUGCGAAACACAAAGAUACUUAUUGAGUCCAACAAUCUUCUGGGAUUGGAAAUUCCACCGUUUUGUUUUGCAGCAGAACACACACAGAAGACAACUCAAUCGCUUGAUUUGAUUUCGGGAUGCUGAGAAAUAUCAAUGGCUCAGCCGGAAGGAUUCCCGGCCACUCGCAUUCAAUUUUCAGCAUCUUGCGAUUUGUUACUUGACGUCCCCUAAGCCCCGCCUCCCAAACUUAAUGUCACGUAUUUGAUCAGAAAAUUAAGGAUCAAAAAGGCAUUUGUGUAAGCAUCUGAAAAUGUUGUGAUUUAUUGCGCCACAGCCGGCUGGCCCGUCCAGCCUUCUUGGCCAAGCUGUGGGGAUUUGCACACAUCCUUAUGACGAACGAGACCUAGACCCAGCUGCUGCCGGUCUGGAACUGCUGUCGCAGGCUCAGACUGUUUAGUUUUAAAUGGGGACGUGUACAAUUUAAUUUAAUCUUUGGAUUUUCCUUCGCACAAGCUGCCCUAGAACCUCGUUAGCUCUCGCUCUUUUGGACUUCGUCCCGCUUGGGCGAGAUAAAUUUCACACAUAGAUACCGCAGAAUAAGGACGGCAAGGAGAACAAGGGGAGGGCAAGAAAAUAUGUAAAAUCUUGUACUUUUUCUGGGCUUUUUUGUGAAACAGAUUACCGUAUUUCGUUUCAUUUUAUGCAGCUUUAUUGACGUUUGUCUCCGAGAAGCUUGUUUUUUUCAAUUUUCGAAUAUCUUUCGGCCACAAUCCUCGACAGCCGCUUACAAGGAAAAUUGAUAAAUCACUUACCUGAAGAGCUAUCCUUUGAGCAGGUCAAGGAUCAUAACACCGAGAUGCGAGUGGACGGCGAAAACGCAGUGUCAUUGCAAUUAGUAAAUGCGGCAAAGAAUAUUUCAAAUAUUAAUUAAAUUCACAGUAUCUUCAUCCGAUAGUAAUCCGAAAAAGCCUGACACUUCACAGCCCUCCACUCAACAUACAGUCAGCUCGUCGAGCAGUCAAUUUAAUUUGCUGAGAGCAAUUGCUUCCCUCGGCACGUAAAGCAAUUUGAAAUGAGCAACUGACAGCAAAUUUAAUACAUUUUUCACGUUUCAUAAGCAGUGUGUGUGUCGCUCCGUGUCAACAGGAAAGGCCCGGCGAAACCGAUAGCCCAACAUAAUUAUGUCGUUGCAUAUUGACGAUGAUUUCUGCACAUUGCCGCAAUUAUUGUCUGUUUAUGCUAAUUAAAAAUCAAUAGGAAGUGCCAUCGCGAUGUCAUUUUUCCCCACUCAUGUUAAUUGCGCUGGCCUUCCUGUUUACCUAUCAAUCUCCAUCGCUUCUUGCGAACCGCUCCUGGGGAGCCCAGCGUUUUGGUUAUUGGAAUGGGUUGGAUUGGGGGAAGCAGUGUGAAACAAGAAGAUCGGGGAGGCAACAGUGCUUUUGGCAAGGAAAAUCCAGCUUUGUGUAAGCUAAGUUAUGUUCCAAGUCCCACCAUUUCCGCUUUUUCUUUAAUUAUGUGCUGUUGCUGUUAUCGGGCUUAAAAUAUGCAAGCCAAAUAAGGGGCGUUUACUCAAUUAACGUCCAAUCCUGAACCCAGCUACCAACAAGAACCGGCGUCAUCAGAUCCAUGACCAGGGGAUGGAAGCGGUUAUUUUUGGUCUUUAUGUCAAAUGAAGCGUGCGAAUGCCAUAACGCCCCAAAGCCUGGCUAUUAUAUGCGCAGGCCCUGAAAACGCGGCCUGCAGGCACUUCACAUCACUCAACAGGGGCGCCCCGAAAGGGGGCGAGCGGUCUUUUGUGUGUUUGCCCAACAAGUGACCAAAGACGGACUGAAAAGACAAGCGCCGCUUGUUGAUAAAGCCAUCAGCUAAAAAUCGAUAAAAAUAAUAAAGGACGCAGGAAAAUACCCGGAGUGUGUAUACCCAGCUAUGUAUGUGUUGAUGUGGAUGUUGAUGCGACAUGGUGCGAUGGUGAUGCUGUGGCGUUUUGAAUGCGAUUCUACACCCAAUAUAUAUACUUGUUCUCUGCUUUUGCUUUACCUAAUCGGAGAUACCGAUGGCGAACUCUAUGUGUAUCCUCAAAGACCACUAAUAAAACAAGUGAUGUCAUUUUUGCUCUAAUUGAUUUCAAUUUCAAUCGGCAUUUUGUAUGUCAGCUCGCACAAGUGUGCUCACCAGGAGCUCACCAGGCUUUUGAAGCGAAAAGAAUAAUAAAGCAAUAAAUUAAAUUAGUGCGCAUUAUUUAAAAACAAAUAGUCUCUGGUGGCUCGACGCAUGUUUGCGAACACAACCAGCAAUUGCAGCGCCAUAAAUUAUGCAUAAACAUUCAUGCAAAUCAACACUGCCAGCACGCGGGCCUUGUUUGUGGAAAUGUUAAGCGCAGCGGGAGGUUGCAGCUUUCGGGGGUCUAGUAUUUAGGUGUUGGGGCUGGAAGCCAAGCGGACUCAUAAUCGAAUUAGUUGCAAUAAAGCACGAAAUUAAUUUCCGGUCCGCACGCCGCAAGCCACAAAACAUAAUUGCGGUGCAGGCGGGGGAUGGUAGGUGCGGUUGGAUGGGGGAGUGCAAUCGGUAUUCUUUUCGGACCCAUAUCCCAACUCUGUUCCAGUUCAUAAAGCCAGACGCUGAAUGUCCCAUCGCACGUUUUGAUAAGGCGCAGCAUAAAAGGAUAACGGCAUAAGCAAGCGGCAAGCGAAUGUCCGCAGUCAGUUCAUAUUGGCCGACUGUCCGGACAAACGAGGCAGAUAAAAAACUAUUGCAGCGAUACGAGCUGUAAAUAAAGGGAAACCUGGUAUCAACAAACGCACAUACUUAAGAUUGCGUAGCACACAAAUUUAAUUUUGCGGUCAGGACGGAAGGCCUUUGUUUGAGCAGCCGGACGCAACAACGCAGUAGCUGUGGAUCUGUCCAAGUUUUAUAUGGCAGCAUAUUCACGCCAGAAGCCUCGGUAUUCCUAUCAAUCGCCCCAUAACAUCUUUUGGCCGGCUCAUGCCGUAGUUACGAACCUCUGUUGCUGAAAAGUUGCUUAAUGUUGUAUGAAAUAUUUCUUGUGUGCCGGGAGCUGCAAACGGGGCUUGCAUGCGAUGAUACUGAUGGAUCCCCACGCAGCCACACAGACAUCCACAUUUCAGUGUUUCAUUCAUCCCGCCAGCUCCUCAGGGUACUCAGCAUGUAUUGACUUAGAAUUUCUUUUUGCGACGCUGGCUUAAAGGCACACUCCCCUGCGGCAAGCCAGAUGCCAUAUUUCUCAAGUCUGUGGAGUGCCAGCCAAGGGACUUCUGCGUCGGAUCCUGGCGAUAUAAUUUGUGGGUGGGCUGGCCAUCACACUACUUUCUAAGAUCUAACGGGCAGCAUUUAAAACUUUUGGGCAGAGCAAUGUCUUUCGGCCCCGACCGAAGGCCCCAAAGAGCUAUUACUAAAAUUGAACACAUCUAUCUCACAUCUGUAUUUUCCAUUGGCAAAGGGGCCACAUUCUCUUUGGAGCAAGCUCACUUACCACUGGCAAAAAUAUAUAUGAGCGUGAAAGGCAAUGCUUUUAUGGUAAUAAGCUCGCAUUACAUUCUGCAGCAUGGAAAACGACAUGAUGGCCACAUUUGAUGGGGCGCAACGGAACUUUCGAACGCACCCGUAUCGGAGCAUCGGUGGCUUAUCACAUAACACCGAAUGGCUCCUCUCGCUUUAACUUCUUUUUUGCUCCUUUGGCCCUCCGAUGACGUAUUUCUCGGGGAAGGACGUUCUGCAGUCAGUGAGACUCAGAAACAGUUUAUUUUCGUAACUUUACUUAAGAGGACUUUCGCUGCCAAAUUGUUAAAUGAACGCGACUUGCCGGCUCGGCAACAGCCCCUCACUGUAGCCCAAGUGCGCAGAGCCAACACAAGUGCUUUGUCCUUCUCCUAGUUACACACUCCCAACCAGGGACACAUUUCACUUGCGCCUCUUCCAAGAGCCCUUUGUUUAGACGCUGGGACACAUUUUUAAAUCUUGAUGUCGUGUGCUCACUUCGCCCGGGUAUUGUUUUUAUUAUGGCUGGCAUUUGCAUGCAUUUGUAUGCCGAGGAGACACAACUUGAUCUUAGCACGGCAGGAGGACCUUGAACCCUCUAACGAGUUACAGCGCGAAGGAAAUGGCAAAGGACUUCAAGAACGAUGGUGAUUAUAGUGCGCGCACUUGGAUUGUGUUUUACAUUUAUAAACUCGUUACAGCGCUCCGUGCUGUCAAUCUUUGCCACGCUCAUUCUAUCGCCAACAAACAGAAAAAUAAUGCCACGCCCACAUUUUACAUUUUGUCGUUUUCAAAUUGGAAUUAAUUUUACAUACCCAUACUUAUAGGUAUGCCCAAAAGCUGAUUAAUAUUUCAAAAGGUUUGGCUUGAAAGGCAUAAUGGCUUGGCGUGCUAUAUGUGUUUAAUGUAUGUACAUAUACAUACAUGUGAAUAAUGUACAAUGUCACCUAAAAGCAUAAUUAUUUUAAAACGGGAAUAAGAUAGUCAAGGUUCUUAAAAUUAGCUUAAAGAUUCUAGGGACGCCAACGCUGUGCAAGUUUGUAUAAGAACGCUGUCACGCCCACAAGAUCUGUCCGAAAAAUAUUCCUGAGAAACAGACGGAUCAAGAAUAUAUACCCUAUAAGGUCGGAUUCGCUUCCUUCUGCCAGUUAUAUACUUUUUAACGAAUUUAGUAUACCCUUUUACUCUACGAGUAACGGGUGUGAACAUAUGCGGAGCUUGCAUCAAACCGAAUCUCAAGGAAGAGUAACCACUUUUCAGUGUCAAACUGUUGUUUUCUGCCUUGACAGAAUUGCUUCAAUAAAAGCACUAAGUAAAUGCGAAAAGAAACAGAAAGAAGUGCUCCCUGCUCUUUUCCACAUGCCAAGCACACAGAGUAUUUCUUACUUAACGAGCAAACGAAACGUAUUCACGCUCAGCUUCGUCCCCCAGGGAUACGCAAAGCCUGUAUCCUAGCAUGGUGCGGAUUAGCUCUUUUUGCACAGUGUAUCUAGCGUCUCUCUAUGGUCGUUCUAUUAAGGCCUAAUUGAGGGCAAUUACUUGCCGCUCAGCUAAUAAAAACCUUAGAGAUAUUUGCGCAUUUCAACUAAUGAUUUUCUGCUUAGACCUAAGCAAACACUGCCAAAAAUUUAAGUGUCCAGUUGUGUUGUGGGUAAGUUACACACACACACACCAUGAAAACGGUAGCCCACACAAUAUCUCAUUAGCAGGCGACUGACACAGUUAUUAAUAAUUCAUUCAGUGCUAAUAGAAUGUUUGUAUUUUGAACGGACCACAUGACACAGAAGCAGAAAUCCCAGGAAAGGACAUGAAUCCGAAGCUUUUUCGAUAAUUAGCCAAUUUCCUGAAUAAUUCAGAUCUCAGCUGAGCAACUCCCGACUUAUACCUGGACAGCACAUCUGAGAAGGUGGGGAUCCGGCUAUCAAUCAGGAUUGGUUGCCAGCCAAACUGCUCGUAUAAUUUUCCUGUCAUCAAUUCGCGUUGCCCCGCCAAACGUAUUUGGCAUGAUUAUACAAAGUCCUCAUUAAGGUCUUAAUUUGUAAAGCUCGAGGCAGGAGUAUUUUCAGACCUAAACCCUUAGCGGCUUUUUAAAACUUAUGCAACUAUUUUAUUUACUUCAUUUCCCCAAAGCCUGGUUCUUUUUCUCCCCUUUGUCAUGUUUAUGCAUUUGGAGCCCAAUGGACUUUGCCAUCGGACUCGGAUUGCAAGUUGCAAUCAAACGGAAAGCACUAAAAGAUUCGAGCCUAUAUAUAUAUCAGCGAAGGGUUGCACAAUGCGGGUUGAACACUCUGGGAGAACCACAAGCCGGCCAGUUCGAACCAUGCAUAAUUCACAAAAAUAAAUUAAAAGUUGGCAGCGACCUUAUUGUUUAGCUACAUUCCCGUGCUUCUGAAUGGUAAUCGAACGGCUGGCAGUAUUUAACCUUUUGUUUGCUUUCGUGGCUAUUGCAUUUUUACAAUUGAGCACAUUUAAAACUCGUGUUCAUGCAGAUACCUUGGCAUUUGGCAACCCUCCGAAAGAAUAUCGUGUGGAAAACCCCGGCGGACGUGUACUAAGAUGACAUCAUCGUGCAAUUGACGGGGUCCUGGGAAUGACAACAUUUGAAAACCAGGAUAAAAACAAAGACUCGCUGGAGACACAAUGAAGUGAAAUGAAGCAAAAACGUUGGGGAAGCAUCAGCAGGCUGCCAGCCAGUCUACGCACUGAUCCAGUGACUCGUUCAGGCAUUUGGCCAAGAAGAGGGCCUCAUAACUAAAUGGGAACUUACAUUCCCUAUAACGCUUGUUCUCGUUUCUGUUUUUGCUGUGGCAGCAACAUCAGCUUCGGCUUCCUUGGCCUGCUUGUAAUCCGUUAUUAAAAUAUUGGUUGUUUUUUAUUUGACUUUGCUCUUAUAGUUGUGGCUAUUUUGCAUAGAUUACUAUGGAAGAACCGAGCUCGGAGCUCAGCAAAAAGCUGUCGAAAUAUGUAGGACACACACUGGCAGAAUUUUUUAUAUGCUGUGUGCACAAAAUCAAAUCAAAUUAUUUUUUAGUAGACUUCCAAUUGAAAUACAUAUUUGCGGUUCCAUGACAAAAAAAAGUCGGGCGGCCUGUGGCCGGAUGAUAAACACAUAUUACGCAAGUCUGCCACGCUCAUUAGCAAGCACACAAGGUGUCGAACUACAAGUCAUAAAACUGGGACGCCCCGUUGGUUCCGGCUUCAACGGUAAGGCAGGGCGAUAGGCACGGGGCGUGUCCCACUUGCACACAGCUACCCGUCUACUGACAUGCAUGUGAGUCCCCGAGGUGAUAAAAUGCUCCUGCUCCAAUCGACCCACUUGUCCGGUGACAGUCCAGAAUUGAUAUAGAACUUCCGCGAGCACACAUCCUGCCGCCCUGGUGACCUUUUACUGCUUGCGACGUGCACUCACGCUUUUAAAUAUGAAACGCGCAUUAAUUUUGACAUCGAAGCGGAAAUACAUUUAAUUGCUUUCUGCGUGGCCGCUCCCCCAACGUCCCCCAACGACUUAAUCGCACGUUCACCCCCACGAAAACAAGCCCACGCGCCUUAUCGCUGGGGGCUCCGACAUAUAUGAAAAAAUAAGAUUCGCCAUUAGCGCUCGUCUCCAAGGGCUUCGUUAGCAAAUAUUUAGCUUGCGCUUUCAUUUUGUUGCUUAACAAGAAAGCCGUACGAUUCCUGGUCUCCCAUUUGCAUGAGCUACUUCGUCAAAAAUUCAGUCCAGAUGUAUCGUAAUCCUAUCGACCUUAAAGCGGUAUCAAAUAUAGUUGUGAAGGCCUUUGUGUAUAAGUUAUUUUAAUCUACCCAUUUAUCAAUUUCUCUUCGACCUUUGUUUUCUUCUCAUGGAACACACAACCGCGUAAGAAAUCUACCUAAAAUUGUGUGCUGCUUCCGUCUUUCCCCAAAAACGAAUCAAACGACCAUUAUAAAACCUAAAGUGUACGAGCUGUUUAACCGUUUAACACAAAACAGAAAUUAAAAUAGUUUUGUUUGGGCCAAUAAUUUUUAAGUAUCCAUUUCUUAGUGAACUCGCAGAUUAUUAAACUGGAAGUAAACUACUUUUAUAGUCAUUUGAAAUAGUCAUUUGAAAUAGUCAUUUGAAGUCUCUAAUAUAUGCCAGUGAAAUAUACAUCCUUUUAAAUAUGUAUAGUCAUUAGUCAUUUCUAGGAGUGACCACUUUACAAAUUUGCUCUUCCGAAACUUAACUUCAUUUGAACUUUUCUUGGUUGAUAACCAACGCAGUUAGGCAUUUACCUUCCUUAAUAAGUCAGAGGUGAUAUGUUUUCAAACCACGUUCGUGGUAUAUGUUUGACAGCAUCCAAGUUUGUUCUUGUCGCAGGCUAUAAACCAAAGCCCAUACUUUCAAGUCCCACGGAUAUAAGGGGCAAAAGGGAGUUAAGAGGAAGCAGUGGAAGGCAGAAAGUCACAAGCAUUACGUUAACCACAUGUCAUACUCACUAGUGAGAAACGGCCAACUGUAAAUCACUUUCCAAGUGCGGCUGAGCGCGGAACGGAUACUAAAGCGGAUUUCAGUACCUGGUGGAUCUUGUAUUCUUGUCGGGGACUCGCGAGUUUCGAUCAUGCACGGCUCGUAUUAAGCCAUCAGGCAUGCGUCCGCAGAACGCGCACUCCGGUACAACUCGAAUGCAAUGCGAUUUGGGUCAAAGUGGUGGCAAAACGACAAUUCAGCCGCACUUUUUACAGUUGUCACUACUGAUGCCUGUUCUCGAAUUCCCGGAUUCUCAAUACCUCUGGCGGCUCUGGCGUUUCGGUUUUGGCUAACGUUUCUGCUAUUACUUUUUGCCACCGAUGACAGCAAGCUGCCUUCGCACUCGCAGUUGCUUGCAGGAACAGUUGCCUUAACGCGGAGUCACUGGCGAAUAUUACGCCCGCCGCGCACCAGUUUUCGCGAGCAUUAAGGCGUUCACAAGAAUAACACGUCG